UAGGGAAUCUUCGGCAAUGGGGGCAACCCUGACCGAGCAACGCCGCGUGAGUGAAGAAGGUUUUCGGAUCGUAAAGCUCUGUUGUAAGAGAAGAACGUGUGUGAGAGUGGAAAGUUCACACAGUGACGGUAACUUACCAGAAAGGGACGGCUAACUACGUGCCAGCAGCCGCGGUAAUACGUAGGUCCCGAGCGUUGUCCGGAUUUAUUGGGCGUAAAGCGAGCGCAGGCGGUUUAAUAAGUCUGAAGUUAAAGGCAGUGGCUUAACCAUUGUUCGCUUUGGAAACUGUUAAACUUGAGUGCAGAAGGGGAGAGUGGAAUUCCAUGUGUAGCGGUGAAAUGCGUAGAUAUAUGGAGGAACACCGGUGGCGGAAGCGGCUCUCUGGUCUGUAACUGACGCUGAGGCUCGAAAGCGUGGGGAGCAAACAG
rnacentral:rRNA from 1 species